UUGAAAGAAACCGUGAUCCGCUUGUGAUGUUGGAAAGAGAACUUCUAGAGCUACAAUUUAUACAAAAAUAAGAUACGUUAAAACUACGCUCCGCUUAUGCCGCUAGAAAGAAGACUUCUGAAACUACAAUAUCUAUAAUAAUCAGGAUUGAUGAACCAACUGGGAAAAGAGUUGCUGAGGUGAUUUCUGACACAAUUAUCAACCAGCUCCCACCGUUCCAUCGGAUAAUUUAUCCUUAUUGAUUGCACACCAUCGUUGAAUAGCUGUUUCAUUUCCUUUUCAUCCAUCCUUAGAGCCUUUGGCAAUUGACAUGGGAUGAUCAUUGGUAGGCUCUUGAUUUAAUUGCAGUAUGCUUCCAUGAUAUUCCUACAUUUUGAAAUUAUCAAUCAUGAUCACCUUGAAACUAUACAAUCAUCAAACCACAUU